rfam:Punctularia strigosozonata HHB-11173 SS5 unplaced genomic scaffold PTNSTscaffold_5, whole genome shotgun sequence.
GGGCCUGUAACUCAGUGGUAGAGUGCCUGCUUUGCAAUCCUGUGGAUGAUACGACUGCAUGAAGUCCUGGGUUCAAUCCCCAGCUGGUCCA